rnacentral:misc_RNA from 1 species
GAUGAAGAACGUAGCGAAAUGCGAUAAGUAAUGUGAAUUGCAGAAUUCAGUGAAUCAUCGAAUCUUUGAACGCACAUUGCGCCCGCCAGUAUUCUGGCGGGCAUGCCUGUCUGAGCGUCAUUUCAACCCUCAUGCCCCUAGGGCGUGGUGUUGGGGAUCGGCCAAAGCCCGCGAGGGACGGCCGGCCCCUAAAUCUAGUGGCGGACCCGUCGUGGCCUCCUCUGCGAAGUAGUGAUAUUCCGCAUCGGAGAGCGACGAGCCCCUGCCGUUAAACCCCCAACUUUCCAAGGUUGACCUCAGAUCAGGUAGGAAUACCCGCUGAACUUAAGCAUAUCAAUAAGCGGAUGA